UAAUGAUACAGAUAUAAGAUAUGCUGUAUACCCGUGGCUCCGAAUUAGCGUUUAAGCGAUAUGUAAUAUCGUCGUCCAUGGGGACCACCCGAAAGGGUGGUUUUUUUACUAU
rnacentral:sRNA from 12 species